rnacentral:rRNA from 1 species
ACACUAUCAUUAACUGAAUCCAUAGGUUAAUGAGGCGAACCGGGGGAACUGAAACAUCUAAGUACCCCGAGGAAAAGAAAUCAACCGAGAUUCCCCCAGUAGCGGCGAGCGAACGGGGAGCAGCCCAGAGCCUGAAUCAGUGUGUGUGUUAGUGGAAGCGUCUGGAAAGGCGCGCGAUACAGGGUGACAGCCCCGUACACAAAAAUGCACAUGCUGUGAGCUCGAUGAGUAGGGCGGGACACGUGGUAUCCUGUCUGAAUAUGGGGGGACCAUCCUCCAAGGCUAAAUACUCCUGACUGACCGAUAGUGAACCAGUACCGUGAGGGAAAGGCGAAAAGAACCCCGGCGAGGGGAGUGAAAAAGAACCUGAAACCGUGUACGUACAAGCAGUGGGAGCACGCUUAGGCGUGUGACUGCGUACCUUUUGUAUAAUGGGUCAGCGACUUAUAUUCUGUAGCAAGGUUAACCGAAUAGGGGAGCCGAAGGGAAACCGAGUCUUAACUGGGCGUUAAGUUGCAGGGUAUAGACCCGAAACCCGGUGAUCUAGCCAUGGGCAGGUUGAAGGUUGGGUAACACUAACUGGAGGACCGAACCGACUAAUGUUGAAAAAUUAGCGGAUGACUUGUGGCUGGGGGUGAAAGGCCAAUCAAACCGGGAGAUAGCUGGUUCUCCCCGAAAGCUAUUUAGGUAGCGCCUCGUGAAUUCAUCUCCGGGGGUAGAGCACUGUUUCGGCAAGGGGGUCAUCCCGACUUACCAACCCGAUGCAAACUGCGAAUACCGGAGAAUGUUAUCACGGGAGACACACGGCGGGUGCUAACGUCCGUCGUGAAGAGGGAAACAACCCAGACCGCCAGCUAAGGUCCCAAAGUCAUGGUUAAGUGGGAAACGAUGUGGGAAGGCCCAGACAGCCAGGAUGUUGGCUUAGAAGCAGCCAUCAUUUAAAGAAAGCGUAAUAGCUCACUGGUCGAGUCGGCCUGCGCGGAAGAUGUAACGGGGCUAAACCAUGCACCGAAGCUGCGGCAGCGACGCUUAUGCGUUGUUGGGUAGGGGAGCGUUCUGUAAGCCUGUGAAGGUGUACUGUGAGGUAUGCUGGAGGUAUCAGAAGUGCGAAUGCUGACAUAAGUAACGAUAAAGCGGGUGAAAAGCCCGCUCGCCGGAAGACCAAGGGUUCCUGUCCAACGUUAAUCGGGGCAGGGUGAGUCGACCCCUAAGGCGAGGCCGAAAGGCGUAGUCGAUGGGAAACAGGUUAAUAUUCCUGUACUUGGUGUUACUGCGAAGGGGGGACGGAGAAGGCUAUGUUGGCCGGGCGACGGUUGUCCCGGUUUAAGCGUGUAGGCUGGUUUUCCAGGCAAAUCCGGAAAAUCAAGGCUGAGGCGUGAUGACGAGGCACUACGGUGCUGAAGCAACAAAUGCCCUGCUUCCAGGAAAAGCCUCUAAGCAUCAGGUAACAUCAAAUCGUACCCCAAACCGACACAGGUGGUCAGGUAGAGAAUACCAAGGCGCUUGAGAGAACUCGGGUGAAGGAACUAGGCAAAAUGGUGCCGUAACUUCGGGAGAAGGCACGCUGAUAUGUAGGUGAAGUCCCUCGCGGAUGGAGCUGAAAUCAGUCGAAGAUACCAGCUGGCUGCAACUGUUUAUUAAAAACACAGCACUGUGCAAACACGAAAGUGGACGUAUACGGUGUGACGCCUGCCCGGUGCCGGAAGGUUAAUUGAUGGGGUUAGCGCAAGCGAAGCUCUUGAUCGAAGCCCCGGUAAACGGCGGCCGUAACUAUAACGGUCCUAAGGUAGCGAAAUUCCUUGUCGGGUAAGUUCCGACCUGCACGAAUGGCGUAAUGAUGGCCAGGCUGUCUCCACCCGAGACUCAGUGAAAUUGAACUCGCUGUGAAGAUGCAGUGUACCCGCGGCAAGACGGAAAGACCCCGUGAACCUUUACUAUAGCUUGACACUGAACAUUGAGCCUUGAUGUGUAGGAUAGGUGGGAGGCUUUGAAGUGUGGACGCCAGUCUGCAUGGAGCCGACCUUGAAAUACCACCCUUUAAUGUUUGAUGUUCUAACGUUGACCCGUAAUCCGGGUUGCGGACAGUGUCUGGUGGGUAGUUUGACUGGGGCGGUCUCCUCCUAAAGAGUAACGGAGGAGCACGAAGGUUGGCUAAUCCUGGUCGGACAUCAGGAGGUUAGUGCAAUGGCAUAAGCCAGCUUGACUGCGAGCGUGACGGCGCGAGCAGGUGCGAAAGCAGGUCAUAGUGAUCCGGUGGUUCUGAAUGGAAGGGCCAUCGCUCAACGGAUAAAAGGUACUCCGGGGAUAACAGGCUGAUACCGCCCAAGAGUUCAUAUCGACGGCGGUGUUUGGCACCUCGAUGUCGGCUCAUCACAUCCUGGGGCUGAAGUAGGUCCCAAGGGUAUGGCUGUUCGCCAUUUAAAGUGGUACGCGAGCUGGGUUUAGAACGUCGUGAGACAGUUCGGUCCCUAUCUGCCGUGGGCGCUGGAGAACUGAGGGGGGCUGCUCCUAGUACGAGAGGACCGGAGUGGACGCAUCACUGGUGUUCGGGUUGUCAUGCCAAUGGCACUGCCCGGUAGCUAAAUGCGGAAGAGAUAAGUGCUGAAAGCAUCUAAGCACGAAACUUGCCCCGAGAUGAGUUCUCCCUGAC